rnacentral:rRNA from 1 species
UACGAAGGGUGCAAACGUUGCUCGGAAUUAUUGGGCGUAAAGCGCACGUAGGCGGCUUUUCAAGUCGGAUGUGAAAUCCCUCGGCUUAACCAAGGAAGUGCAUCCGAAACUGGAAGGCUUGAGUACUUAAGAGGAUCGCGGAAUUCCAGGUGUAGCGGUGAAAUGCGUAGAUAUCUGGAGGAACACCGGUGGCGAAGGCGACAUCCUGGACCGGUAUUGACGCUGAGGCGCGAAAGCCAGGGGAGCAAACGGG